GAUGAACGCUGGCGGCGUGCCUAAUACAUGCAAGUCGAGCGAACAGACGAGGAGCUUGCUCCUCUGACGUUAGCGGCGGACGGGUGAGUAACACGUGGAUAACCUACCUUUAAGCCUGGGAUAACUUCGGGAACCCGGAGCUAAUACCGGGUAAUAUAUUGAACCGCAUGGUUCAAUAUUUAAAGACGGUUUUGCUGUCACUUAUUGAUGGAUCCGCGCCGCAUUAGCUAGUUGUUAUGGUAACGGCUUACAAAGGCAACGAUGCGUAGCCGACCUGAGAGGGUGAUCGGCCACACUGGAACUGAGACACGGUCCAGACUCCUACGGGAGGCAGCAGUAGGGAAUCUUCCGCAAAGGGCGAAAGCCUGACGGAGCAACGCCGCGUGAGUGAUGAAGGUCUUCGGAUCGUAAAACUCUGUUAUUAGGGAAGAACAAAUGUGUAAGUAACUAUGCACGUCUUGACGGUACCUAAUCAGAAAGCCACGGCUAACUACGUG
rnacentral:rRNA from 1 species